rnacentral:ribozyme from 1 species
ACCCAGCCCUAUAGGCAGGCACCUCUACACAGUGCUGAGGACUAGUACUUGCUAGAGUAUAUCACUUAUUAGUAAGGAAGCUAAGGUCUGCC